GAACAUAUGAUCUAAUGGUAUGAUACCACUACUUCACAGUGGGUAUUCGAGUUCGAUUCUCGAUAUGUUUA